AUUGAACGCUGGCGGCAGGCUUAACACAUGCAAGUCGAACGGUAACAUAAAGAAGCUUGCUUCUUUGAUGACGAGUGGCGGACGGGUGAGUAAUGCUUGGGAAUCUAGCUUAUGGAGGGGGAUAACUACGGGAAACUGUAGCUAAUACCGCGUAGAAUCGAGAGAUGAAAGUGUGGGACCUUCGGGCCACAUGCCAUAGGAUGAGCCCAAGUGGGAUUAGGUAGUUGGUGAGGUAAAGGCUCACCAAGCCGACGAUCUCUAGCUGGUCUGAGAGGAUGACCAGCCACACUGGGACUGAGACACGGCCCAGACUCCUACGGGAGGCAGCAGUGGGGAAUAUUGCGCAAUGGGGGCAACCCUGACGCAGCCAUGCCGCGUGAAUGAAGAAGGCCUUCGGGUUGUAAAGUUCUUUCGGUAGCGAGGAAGGCAUUUAGUUUAAUAGACUAGGUGA
rnacentral:rRNA from 1 species